UGGUGAUGAGGAUGACAUUUAUGCAGAAGGUCCCUAAAGCGCUCCCAUGUCUCAAAAAAUUGUUUCCCAUCCAAUUGUGAGAAACUAGCAAUUGCCUUCCUCGGCUA